GACGAACGCUGGCGGCGUGCUUAACACAUGCAAGUCGAACGGAAAGGCCCUGCUUUUGUGGGGUGCUCGAGUGGCGAACGGGUGAGUAACACGUGAGUAACCUGCCCUUGACUUUGGGAUAACUUCAGGAAACUGGGGCUAAUACCGGAUAGGAGCUCCUGCUGCAUGGUGGGGGUUGGAAAGUUUCGGCGGUUGGGGAUGGACUCGCGGCUUAUCAGCUUGUUGGUGGGGUAGUGGCUUACCAAGGCUUUGACGGGUAGCCGGCCUGAGAGGGUGACCGGCCACAUUGGGACUGAGAUAGGGACCAGACUCCUACGGGAGGCAGCAGUGGGGAAUAUUGCACAAUGGGCGGAAGCCUGAGGCAGCAACGCCGCGUGCGGGAUGACGGCCUUCGGGUUGUAAACCGCUUCCGCCUGUGACGAAGCGUGAGUGACGGUAAUGGGUAAAGAAGCACCGGCUAACUACGUG
rnacentral:rRNA from 1 species